CUGCAGACCUCCUGCCUCCGUGGUGUUGUUUUGCGUGCCGCUUUCACACCACUCUCAGGCCUUUUCCCCAUUUUUCAGGCUGCUCUGGAUCCCUGCCUGGAGAGACUGUCUUUAGUCUGCUCCUGAUGGGAUGAGGCAGCAGAAACCCGAGUGAGGUGAAUGAAUGGGCCCUGCUGCUGCUGUCUCCUGAAGGCCCUCAGCCAAAGGAAACCAAUUUUUUACUUAACAGCUACAGAUGUUCUGAGAAUGCCGGGAGAAGUGGAUUAGAAGCAAGUGAUGUUCAGCCACUUCUGAGGAAGGACUGCAGCCCCUGGAGUGGUUUCCCCAAAGGCAAAUAUUUGAGAAAUUCACCUAAAGCAAGAGAAAUUCAUCUGUACAGGGAAAAGCCAUGAUUUGUCAAACUGCCACUUUCUAAGGAGAAGGAGGAAAUAACAGAUUUGAAAUGCCAGACGUUCUUGAUGUUGCUAAUGGGGCCCAGGAGCUGACAGAGAAGAGAUGGAAGUGCCACCACCAGAGUGUCCCAGUGGGGCCUGCCCAGUGCCCCAGCAGCUGCACAGCCAAGGCACACGAACACCACAUUUGGAACUGUUUUUCCAACUUCCCCCCACGCUGCAGACACCAGGUAAAGCCCAUCCCAUAGCCCACCAAAGUCCUGGUCACACCAUCACACAUCACACUCCUGCUGAGAGGAGACAGUGGAGCUCCCCUGGUGCCUGUCAUGGGUCUCUCCUGACAAGGCAGGAGCCCUGAGGGAGUCAGUGAAUCCCGAAUUCAGCUGGAGACAGAAACACAGUGCAAAAACUCUCCCCUGCUGCAGCUCAGUCCAGCAACUCCAGAGCAGAGGAUGUGAAAAUUUGGUGCUGGUGCACCAAGGCUCAGAGGAUGGGAAGGAAGGACAGAAAUUAUUUGGAUAUCCUGAUUUUUUUUUCUCUGUCACCUUGUGCUAGGAUGUGGAUUUGUCUUUCCUUUCAUUUGCAUGUUGUAAUUAUUUUUAUGUCACCUUUUGCUCUCCACAUAGCAACCAUUGUUUGAAAGCAAGAUUAAUUCAGCUGAAAACCAUAACAUCAAAACUGAAGCCUGGAGUAUCUGUGCAGUUACUCCAGUGCUGGGAGUCCAUGAUUUUUUUCCUUGCCAUGCUACAAACAAGGUGAUCACUUCUCAAGUCCCCUCCAGCAAUUCACUUGGCAUUUGUGAGCUCCUGGCAGCUACCAGUA